rnacentral:rRNA from 1 species
AUUGCACGCUGGCGGCAGGCCUAACACAUGCAAGUAGAACGAGUGGCGGACGGGUGAGUAAUGACUGGGAAACUGACUGAUGGAGAGGGAUAAAUACUGGAAACGGUAGCUAAUACAGAAUAACAUCAGCUGUGCCCAGAUGGGCUUAGGUAGUGUGUGGGGUAACGGCUCACCAAGGCGGCGAUCGCUAAAUGGUCUGAGAGGAUGACCAGCCACACUGGAACUGAGAAACGUUCCAGACUCCUACGGGAGGCAUCAGUGGGGAAUAUUGCACAAUGGGCGAAAUCCUGAUGCAGCCAUGUCGCGUGUAGGAAGAAGGCCUUCGGGUUGUAAAGUACUUUCAGCGUGUAGGCGUUACCCGCAGAAGAAGCACCGGCUAACUCCGUGCCAGCAGCCGCGGUAAUAC